UUUCUCCGCGGCGACCGGCGCACGGGUGAGUAACACGUAUGCAACCUCGCCCUCGUCGAGGGGACAACCCGCCGAAAGGCGGGCUAAACCCGCGUACAUGCCACCGGGGCAUCCCGGAGGCAGGAAAGGCUUCGGCCGGACAGGGAUGGGCAUGCGGCGCAUUAGGCAGUAGGCGGGGUAACGGCCCACCUACCCGACGAUGCGUAGGGGUUCUGAGAGGAAGGUCCCCCACACUGGUACUGAGACACGGACCAGACUCCUACGGGAGGCAGCAG
rnacentral:rRNA from 1 species